UACAGAGGGGCAAGCGUUGUUCGGAAUUACUGGGCGUAAAGGGCGCGUAGGUGGCCUUCUAAGUUGAACGUGAAAUCCCUGGGCUCAACCCAGGAACUGCGUCCAAGACUGGGAGGCUUGAAUCCGGGAGAGGGAUGCGGAAUUCCAGGUGUAGCGGUGAAAUGCGUAGAUAUCUGGAGGAACACCGGUGGCGAAGGCGGCAUCCUGGACCGACACUGACGCUGAGGAGCGAAAGCCAGGGGAGCAAACGGG
rnacentral:rRNA from 1 species